GGAGCAAAACUCAUCGUUUCAAUUAUAUGUUUUCACAUGAUUAAGCCCGAAGAUAGCGAGACAGCCGCAAGAUUUUUUAGGGUUUGGUGUUCUUCUUCCACAAUUAAACGAUCAAUCUUCUCUUUCGAUCUCUGAUACAACUAUGGAGUUUCGAUAUCUUCAAUCCACGUGAGAAUUGCUUUGCGAAUCUUCGACCUGAGGGUUCAUCAUCCUCUACAGCAAGCUCUGAUACGGUCAACCAACAAUGGAGGGGGAAAGUUUGUGUGAGAUGAGUGUUGGUGAGGAAUCUCUGCAUCGAUCUCGGUUAAUGUCAGAUUCAUUGCUCAACAUGGUCACUCUCUAUUCUCUGAUUCUUCUUCUGCUUCAUAUACCUUAAAAAUUUUGUUGAGUCAAAUCGGAUUGAUACAUAAUCUUUCACAUUAAAUAUUGAAAUACUUAGUAUCUGAUUGUCUGGUUUGGAUAUUGAGUUAUGAAUUUUGGAAACCUUAUGUAAUUGGAAUUGCAGCUCCUUCUUCAUGUUCUGUCAAUUGCUUUUGUUAUGGUUCAACCACCAGGACACCAUUGUUGUGUUUGAGAGAGUUAGUGACUGUAAUACGUGUCCUAGAUUUAAUCGCCGCUGCAUAUGCUAUUACUAGCUCUUUCUUCAUAUUCUUUCUCUUGCUAGAAUUCUCUUUAUAUUCUAACUAUUGUUUCUGUUAUAACAUAGAAAGUUCAGAUCUUAGAUUGUUCGGGACCAACAACCAGCGUAACUGCUUUGUAUCUAUGACAGAGAGAUUUUAAUGUUUAACCUCUAAACAUGUUCUUGACUCCUUUAGCCAUCUCUACUUCAAUGUGUGGGUUAUCUUCUGAGAGGCGGAUAUAAAAAGGCUGGCAGUUGUUUGUGUGGCUGCUCAGAUGUGUGAAACGAGUGAAACCGAAGCAGAUUGAUCUCUUAGUUCCAGUGACAUAAGAAACUUUCUCCGUGUCAUCAUCUUUACUGCAAGAGGGUGGCGCAUAUCAUAGAUUCAAUCACUAUACUUACCUUGACAUGUCUUGGUCUCGGUAAGUCACCAAUCUGUUUUUUUGUAAUGUUUUCAAGUUUUUUUGUAUAACUCCUACAAGCUCAUCAUCUUCCACCAAAUGUUUCUCAACUGUCAACUACUGUAUUAACUCUAAUGAUCUUUCCUAAUCAUAUUCUCUUCCAGUUUCUUCAGUUUAUGGGAUGCAGAUCAUUGUUUACACGUUAGUAUAAACUUUGAAACGUUCUUUAUGCGCUUUCAUAAGUAAGAACUAUCUGAAUCUUUUCCUCUUCAGCAGCCAUGUGAUUUUUGGAUGGAUUUUGGUGACUGUUACAUUCAUCUUGAGCGGAACACUCCUUCUGCUACAAAAUUAUGUCUCAUGACAGUUCAUUAGCUUCUUCUUUCAUUGAAAAACUUUAAUUUGCUUCUUUGAGCAUUAGUGCAACUACAGACACAUGUGUAGCACGGAGUGUAUUAGUAGAGAAAGCCGCAAGCAACACGGCUCUAGACGAGAUCUUGCCUUGCAUAUACAAUUCUACAGCUCAAGUUGUGUUUAAAAUGGCGCAUGGCGCACCAAGGCGAGACGGUCCUAGCCUUGCGCCUUACGCCAUGGCGCAAUAAGGUGGCUAUUAAUCUGUGACAAAGUAACACAGGAAUCUAUUAGAAGAAUAAGCACAAACGAGAUUGGAAAGAGUAGAGACUAGAGAGUUCUAACCUUAAGCAAAAAAGCUUGAGAUCUAUGUUUAUGUUUAGUUACGUAACUUGUCUUUUAUAAAUCUAGGGCUUUCAUAGUUAUUUAGACAUUUAAGUUUCCCGAAGCUUAAGUAUUUUAGACGUCUAAGGUUUAAUUAUUAAUUAAGGUUUGGUUUCAUACCUGGUUUAGUCCGGUUUACAUAUAGUCUCCAUGGCACGCCUUACGCCCGCCUUGGAUAUGCUCGCCUUCUGGCCAAGGCGCUCCAUGGCGCGCGCCUUACGGAACCCACCCUCGCCUAGGAGAUACAUGGCGAUGGAGCCGUCGCCUGAGUGCGCCUCGCACCAUGGCGCAAAAGGCGAGCGCCAUUUUAAACACAGAGCUCAAGCAAAUUUGAUAUGUAUCAAAGAGUUGACGGUCAGCUCGUGGAGCUCAUUAGUUGUACCAUUGUUCAUGAGAUGGUUAAUUAGGUUGAUUGAAUGCUAACAAGAACUGUUACGCCGUUGAUUUGAUGUUGAUCUGUAUAUAACGAUCAUGUAUCACAGUUUCUCUAAAAUGUUGGUUGACUAAUGGAUGGUGAUUAUUUAUAAUGUACCAAGGUCCAACAUACCAGGAGUUUGUUAAUAUUUGCUUAGGAGAUGGUCUACGAAAAGUGCUCAGGUCAUGGGGGUUGAUGGGGAGAAAUCAGCUGUCCAGGUAUAUAGCCAUGUCCAAGAAUUCGUAUAUCUGCUCCUGUCUAUCAUCAUUGGUGAUGGAGAAAAAUUGAAGCAUCAACACCACUGCAAAGAAGCAGAGUCAGCAGAAGCCGAAGCAUAAGCAGCUCAAGCUUACGCUGAAGAAGCUUCAAAGACACUGAGUGGACGAAACAUCUGCAAAAUGAUGGUUUGUAUGAGAGGUGACAUAGGAGGAAGAAGAAUGUGUUGCAGGUGAAGAAGAAGAAUGUGUUGCAGGUGAACAGAGAGAGAAGCGUAGAAGUAGUGUCUGUUAUUGAUUCUCUACUUGGAAACUCUUUUUAGUUGUAAACAGUAAUCUCAAAUGCUAAAACUCUUUCUAUCUGUAACAAAUAAUUCUUUAGCUGGAGAAUUUUUGCAGAUUAAAAAUGUGUUAUAUAUUGUGAAAUUGGAAAGAUACGUGGGCAAGUUUUAAUGUUAUAGUAGGUAUAAAAAUUUUGUUUUAUAGUA